UGUUGGAAAAGUUCAGGUUGAUGUAUAUUUACAGGAUAGCCACCAUGGACUGUAUCAGACAUGAACUGUGUUUUGAAUCUUUGAAGACAGUUAUGAUCAAGAAUGUAUCUCAUUCUGCAGCAAAAUUUAACAAGUGAAAUAUUUUAUCAAUCUGACAAAGGGAAGAAUCGAUAUUGUUUCAUUAUAUCAUUAUUUUAAGCAGUUUCUCAACACUAUGAAGACACAGAUUCCCAACCAGAUUCUCAUGCACUGACCGAAACUGCAGUAUUUUGCAAAGCUGAGAGCACAGGAGAACUUUACAUUCAUACAGAGAACUGUAUUUCCAAGAGUAAAGAACGAAAGGAAUCAUGGCAGUGUUUCCCUGACUACUGGGGUUAGUAAGAUGUAUUAAAAACCAGCAUCCAGACUGACAAUAUUUGGAUCAAGAGCAUCUGACAACAUCCCUUUAGCCCUCAUAACACCUUUGUGAGUUUGCUGCACCCUUCAUGGGAAGAGGCUCACUCCUAAAACAUCAGUAAUACAGAAGGAACAAUACAACAGACAGACAGAUGGAAGUUCAUGCAGUUGCUACCAAAAAUCCGUUACCAUUCUGGUGAUAAACAAAACAAUCAGAAUGAAGAAGAAUGGCCAUUGCAUUCCAA